rnacentral:rRNA from 1 species
GAUGAACGCUAGCUACAGGCUUAACACAUGCAAGUCGAGGGGUAACAAGAGAAAAGCUUGCUUUUCUUGUUGACGACCGGCGCACGGGUGAGUAACGCGUAUCCAACCUGCCUAUAACUAGGGAAUAGCCUUGCGAAAGUAAGACUAAUACCCUAUGAUUUCCUUUGAUGACAUCAGAUUAGGAAUAAAGAUUUAUCGGUUAUAGAUGGGGAUGCGUCUGAUUAGCUUGUUGGCGGGGUAACGGCCCACCAAGGCAACGAUCAGUAGGGGUUCUGAGAGGAAGGUCCCCCACAAUGGAACUGAGACACGGUCCAAACUCCUACGGGAGGCAGCAGUGAGGAAUAUUGGUCAAUGGGCGGAAGCCUGAACCAGCCAAGUAGCGUGCAGGAUGACGGCCCUAUGGGUUGUAAACUGCUUUUUAUACAGGAAUAAAGUUAGCCACGUGUGGUUAUUUGUAGGUACUGUAUGGAUAAGGACCGGCUAAUUCCGUGCCAGCCGCCGCAGUAA